AGUCCUGGAAAUGAUCUUGAUGCUAUCUGUUCCUCGUUACAGCAGACCUGCUCAACUUCAGCAGCUAGAAGGAGGAUUGUCUUUCACCAGCUGCAGGAGCCUGUUCCCACUACAAGCCUGGUGGAGUCUUCGGAGCAGAUGUGACUGUCCUACUUGUAUAGAGAAGAGAAACUGAGGCUCAGAAGAGAUGCCUGGCUGAGUUUAAUAGGACUGCAACAACAAUUUUGCCUUUCUACUUUCUGGUACAGUGGUCUUUCCUUUGCCAUCAUGCCUCAGCAUAUCCAUACCGUUUGCAAAGAAAUUUCCUAAACAUCACCACUGAGGCUCCUUCCAGCAAUGACUCUGGUCCAUCAUUGGGAUUGCUGAGCAGCUGUUUCAUAACAUGAACAAGGAUGUUUUAACCAUGUUUCUUGACCUGGCCAUUUGGAUCCCAAGGAUGUUUUGGUCCAAGAAUAAAUUCCAGAGCUUAGCUCACCGAAGAAGACAGGAAAACUUGUCAGAUGGGGAAGGAUGUGUCAAGAGCAUGCACACAGAUUUACUCUUCAGCU
rnacentral:lncRNA from 1 species